AAAACAAAUGUGCAACCAGCAGUAUGUUUUAAUUUUAUGUUCUAGCAUGAAUUAAUAUGCUUGUCUAAUACUUCUAUUAACUGUUAUAAGCUGGUUUAGCUCUUACCCUACUACUCCUCUCCUCCAUUCCCACAAGACUUAAGCAAAACCAAAUAGCUCUUAGAUUUUUGUGAGGGUAAAGGAGGAGAAGGAGAGAUAAAGUUAGAAGUAGGGCAUGAAUGUAAUUACUGAAAUAUUAAUGCAUCACAGACGACUCGAGCCCCUUUUCCUAGAAGAAUGACAUCACCUACAGAAGAAAUAGGAGUUCUACAAACAACAAAAGGUGACUGUGCUAAAUAGACACUAGAGAAAGUACACUUUGUUUUCUUUAUUUUUCUGGACUGAUUAAAACUGACCUUCAUUGUAACAGCAAUUAUAAAACAACUAUGAAGUAUUUUCUAAACUGUUUUUCUAAAACUUGGUAUAGGCAGUGCUGUUUCUUUGAUGCUGUUUGAAAUAACUUCAACGUUAAGGGCAUUCGAGACUUAAGUAAAUUAUAUCCACUCUAAACAGUGUGGGAAAAUGGUUCUCCAUGUUAGUGAUUAAUACGGUUUUUAUUGUUUAGAAAUUAUUGAGUUUAACAGCUCCUUUGUUUUGCGGAGUAGUACAAUACAUAAACAUUAUUAUGAGAGAAUAAACCAGCUAUGUUCUAUACCUUAACCUUAUAUACUACUAUGUAGAAGCUUAGCUUUGGUUUAUUAACAGUGUAUGAUGCAUAAUUGGCAUUGUAGUUAAACUGUUUAAGCUGCUAACAACCCAUAGAGGGGGGAAAAAGCUCUAAAUAUUCUUGUUGUUACACUUUUGGGAUAUUCUGGUGGUUUGUCGUUCUUAACUACAUGGAUGCAGUGAAUUCAGCUUACUAACUCCUCUUGGCAGGUCACCAUCAACUCUGUCUGUCACACCAUGUGUCUGUCUUGCUUCCCUCUGAGUUAACUGCUGCUUCAUCUUUGGUCUCAUCAGUCACCUAACACUUGAAUGUUAGUGGCAUGUCUUCAUUCAUCUGUCCCUGUUUGGAAACCUAUGACCACAAGACUGGCAGUUGAGCCAGCAAUUGUUAGCCAGGGUCUGCUGGAGCUGACAGAGGCUAUGAAGCAGAGGUUCAAAAUCUUUUUCUAAUGGACACUGCUUUACUUUGUGAAUUCACUGCCACAUAUUUUUUGCUAUCAAGUACGCUUGUGGCAAUUUGAAGAGAAAGUUAAGUACUUCACUUCUAAACUUGCUUUUUUGAAAUUCCUAAAAAUUUCAUAAAGAGUAAGAUAGGUUUGUGGUAGUUUGUUCUACUGCUUGUUGUGCACAGGCCUUAAAAGGAUUAAAUCUUUGGGACAAUUGAUGUGGCAUUUUGUGAACACACUUCUUUUUUUUUUUUUUGGUAACAAGUGUUUCAGGUCUCCAUUGUUAAUCUCAUUCCCAAAUUCAUUCUCCUCCUCCUCCUUUUGUCUAAAAUGUGACUGUUGAAGAGGGUUCACGUUGAACUUUUGAGUCCAAAUGCAAAUGCACACAUUUUUCUCCAUCCACUCUUAAAUUUGGUCCGUCUUCUGACUUGGUCUAAGUAAAAUUUCAAAAUUAUCCAUUUAAUCUGGGAGCUGAACUCAAGCAACAAAUGCUUCAUCACUUUGGGGUGCCAUAUAACUUCCUUUCCAGUUGAGAUGCCAGUCACAUUUUAGGACUUGGGGUAUGCACCAGCUGUAUUUUUACUAUAACUGCCAAAAAUCUUCCCUAAGCAGUCUUGAUACAAUUAAAAGCAGUGCAUGGGUUUUCAUGGUUCAAUAAAAAAUUAUGCUUCUGUCUCAUCUACUUUGGAACAGAAGCCAUAACUAGUAUGGGUGACUUAGUGUCAUUGCUGGAUAAUAAUCUCCAGUGUAAAUGCACCCUGUCUGAAAUACCUACAGUGCUGACAGUGAGCAUGGAAAUGUUAUUUGAACGCCUCAGAUAAGUAGAUGCAAGUGUGAAAGCCAGGUAUCUACUUUCAAAACUUGUACCAAUUAGUGAUUGCUUAUUCUUUUCAUUGACUUCUGUGACAGUAGCUUCUGAAGUAGUUUUAGAACUGUGGCUGAAUUGCUGUGGUUGAUCCAAAAAGACUCUGAAAGCUCAAAUCAAAAUGAUCAAUUCAUUGCUUGUGUUAUAGUUGGGUGUCUGGAUGUAUCCAUUUAUUUUUUCAUUUUUUUCAGAGCUAUUAAAAAACAAACCAAAUCAAGGGACCACAAAAGAAAAAACAAACUCCAGCAAUGCAAACCCAGCUUUAUCUGCUGGUACAUUUUCAUUGGACAGCUUCAUUCUCAGACACAUGUAGAAAUGUUUGGUGGCCUUUCUUGGUGAAGUUAGUAUGGGAUAAAUAGUUCCAAUAUGAAAACUUUUAAUGAUUGAAAGUACUGCUCCAUUUUUUUCCCUGAAAUUCACACAUACAGGAGGAAAUGUAGAGUGUCUAAUGAGUGUCGGGGUGUUAUUAUUAAAA